UGUCACAGACUACAUUCUGUAGUUAUACUGUAAUGAAGCACUGGAGAAACAACAAAAAACAACAAGCAAGCAAUACUGCAGUGUGCUGCUUCUAUAUAAAGGUGUAUAUGAAUAAGAUUAAUAUAACGGAAUGUGACUAUCUAAUAACCACAACCAAUGUAUAAUACACUGUAUGUUGUUUAUUUGUCAGUGAUGAAUUUGCCUUUGACAGUGUGGCCGGUGGGGAGGAGUCCCAGGAUGUUGGUGAUGAGAUUGAUACAAACCAUGACAUGGGUGAGAAAUGCUUAG
rnacentral:lncRNA from 1 species